rnacentral:misc_RNA from 1 species
AACGCACGAGACCUGCGGACCUGCGGAAGGAUCAUUACCGAGUUAUCCAACUCCCAACCCCUGUGAAUCAUACCUUUAAUUGUUGCUUCGGCGGGACUUCGCGCCCGCCGGGGACCCAAACCUUCUGAAUUUUUUAAUAAGUAUCUUCUGAGUGGUUAAAAAAAAUGAAUCAAAACUUUUAGCAACGGAUCUCU